rnacentral:rRNA from 1 species
UACGUAGGGUGCAAGCGUUGUCCGGAAUUAUUGGGCGUAAAGAACUCGUAGGCGGUUUGUCGCGUCUGCUGUGAAAACCCGAGGCUCAACCUCGGGCCUGCAGUGGGUACGGGCAAACUAGAGUGCGGUAGGGGAGAAUGGAAUUCCUGGUGUAGCGGUGGAAUGCGCAGAUAUCAGGAGGAACACCGAUGGCGAAGGCAGUUCUCUGGGCCGUAACUGACGCUGAGGAGCGAAAGCGUGGGGAGCGAACAGG